AUGGAUAAUCCUUUGUGGACUAGUGGGAUUUAUAUCUCUGUCGAACACAUCUAUAUCAAGUCUUGUAUUUGCCCCUUCCACAGGAUGACUGCCGAGAAUUUCGGGAUCUGUUCCAAAAAGGGAAACUUUCCUGCACAAGAGAAAAUGACCCUGUCCGGGAUUCCUCUGGGAAGCAACACAGCAAUAAGUGCAUCAUGUGUGCAGAGAAGUUCAAAAAGGAGAAUGAGCAGAAGUUAUCUAAAAACAGACAAGAAAAAGAUAAGGUGAGAUUAAAGUAUUAGGCAGGUCGAUAUACAACUUUAUUGGAUUUUCGCUCAAGAUGAGACGGGGCAACAGUAUUCUACUCGGUUGCUUUGUCUGUACUGAUUUCAUUUUGAGAUCCACUUUCCUUUCUCUGCUCGUUUCUUGUUCAUGCUCCUGAAGGCCCCAAGUGAACAAAUUACAUGUCUUUCAUUUUCGGCAAUCAAAACCACCUCCAAGCGGCAGUGCCGGUCCAUAGCUGCCACCAGGGUUAGUGAGCAAUGAGCCCUGCGCUGGUCCUGUGAGCUCCUGAGGUUACCAGCUGGGAGGCAGGAAUUUGGAUAGGUUUUGUUGAAUGUUACAUCUGUCUCACUGACCCAUGGCUCCAGCCACAGACCGGGGCAAAUCCCAUCAGAGAAAGAAACUAAAUAUGCUGUACUGUCUUGAAAUCUGGCACAAGGAUGGUGAAGCCAGACUUGCUGGGGGUGCUGUUUAGGGUAAAAAGAAAAAUCUUGGAGAAAAGCUCCAAAUCUGAGCUCUGGGAAGCUCAAAAGACUGCUAUAUCCUGGGAGGAGAGCACAGCCUUGCACUGUCCCCAGGGGCCCAUGGUACCUUGCUCGCACCACGCAGCUGUGCCCGCUGUGCGUUGCCGGUCCGGGCUGUGCCCGUUGUGGCCCAGGACACUGACGCUUCACUGACAAAAACAAUUCUUUAGGGAAAAAAGUCACUUUCCAACCUUUCUCUUGUGCAGGGGACUGGCAGAGUCCCCUUAAGCCUCAGCCUUGGGGCCAAUCUCAUUUUGGUGCUAUUCCUAACUCCCUUGGCACAAAAAGCCAGAAGAGUGAGUGAAGUUUACUGAUGGCAAAGCUGGGCGGCAGAGGAGGAUUAGCAGAUCACACAGGACUAAUUGGAUAGCGCUGAGGCCUGGAGUAAUAGAAGCAAGAUAAAAUGCAGUAACAGAGUGCAAGAUCACACAGUCAGUGAUUAACAAGAAUCCCUGCUUAUCAAUUAGAAGCGACAAAGGAUA
rnacentral:lncRNA from 1 species